UACGAAGGGGGCUAGCGUUGCUCGGAAUUACUGGGCGUAAAGGGCGCGUAGGCGGACAGUUUAGUCAGAGGUGAAAGCCCCAGGGCUCAACCUUGGAAUAGCCUUUGAUACUGACUGUCUUGAGUUCGGGAGAGGUGAGUGGAACUGCGAGUGUAGAGGUGAAAUUCGUAGAUAUUCGCAAGAACACCAGUGGCGAAGGCGGCUCACUGGCCCGGUGCUGACGCUGAGGCGCGAAAGCUAGGGGAGCAAACGGG
rnacentral:rRNA from 1 species